rnacentral:sRNA from 1 species
AUGGAAGAUUCGAACCUGCCGCAGGUUCGGGUCGAACGCAGUGAGACAACGGAGCCGCUUGCGGCGACGGCCCGAAGGGCGAGCGAAGCGAGUCAUCCUGCACGACCCACCA